rnacentral:rRNA from 1 species
UACGUAGGGUGCAAGCGUUAUCCGGAAUUAUUGGGCGUAAAGAGCUCGUAGGCGGUUUGUCGCGUCUGCUGUGAAAACUGGAGGCUCAACCUCCAGCCUGCAGUGGGUACGGGCAGACUAGAGUGCGGUAGGGGAGAUUGGAAUUCCUGGUGUAGCGGUGAAAUGCGCAGAUAUCAGGAGGAACACCGAUGGCGAAGGCAGGUCUCUGGGCCGAUACUGACGCUGAGGAGCGAAAGCGUGGGGAGCGAACAGG